rnacentral:lncRNA from 1 species
UAGACACAGUCAUCUUUAUGUUCCUUCAGACUUUUUUCCAGUGGAAAAUACAUACAAUAACAAAUAAGCCAGUACUCUACAUACAAUUUUAUGGUCUGAUUUUCUUCAUUUUAAGCCUAUUGUGGAGGCCGGGCAUGAGCCACCGCACUCAGCCUAGCUUAAUUUUUUUUUUUUUUUUUUUUUUUUUUUGAAAUGGAGUUUCUCUCUUGUUGCCCAGGCUGGAGUGCAAUGGUGUGAUCUCAGCUCACCACAACCUCUGACUCCCGGGUUCAAGCGAUUCUCCUGCCUCAGCCUCCCAAGUAGCUGGGAUUACAGGCAUGUGCCACCACACCGGGCUACACCCAGCUAAUUUUGUAUUUUAAGUAGAAACAGGGUUUCUCCAUGUUGGUCAGGCUGCUCUUGAACUCCUAACGUCAAAUGAUCUGCCCACCUCGGCCUCCCAACGUGCUGGGAUUACAGGCAUGAGCCACUGUGCCUGGCCUGCUUAAUUUUUAAAUAAGAGCAAUAACGACAUUAUGCUUCCACCUAGCAAUGUAACUAUCCCUCAUACAAUUGAAACAUGCUGUCUCCCCAAAACAGGAAACAAACUCCUUUUAUCCAUUUUUGGGUGAUAAUCAUCUCUCUUCUAGGUGAUUCAAUAUUCCCUCUUUGAUAUCCGGUUACUUAAACACUGAGAGCUUAAAUAUUAUCAACAAAUUGUAUAUCACAUUUGACUAGGAGAAUGGGAGCCUGAAAAAAAUUGGUUAAUAUACACAAAAAUAUAUUUGUAUCAAAAUAAAAUACUCCUAACUAUUACAGUGCUUAUUUCUAAAACUGCUUACAUGGUCAUAGCUGGUAUUUAUAACUACAUUCUUCCACUACCCAUUUCAUAUUGUCUUUGCCCUCAGCAAAAAUCUCAGCUGGUUGUGGUUUCUUGCCUGUUGGAGUGACCUAAACCUUAAUCCCUGAAAGGUCUAAGCCACUAACAGUCCUGGCUCUAUUGGGUUGUUGUAAUUUUCCAUUGAAGUUUAUCACAGGAUAUGGGAUUACUAAGGCAUCUCAGGGGAUCUACUGCAUUCCAGACAUACUCCUCCUUACUACUAUUUUGUGAUGACAAUCUAAUUUCCUCUUGAUUGUCAAGAUAAAUCUGCCUAGCCCAUAAAGUAUUCUUUUAUCUGUUUCUUGAUUCAUUGGCACGAGGACUUGUGAAGUGGCUAGCUGACAGUCUCAUCUCUCAAAUUAAUGGAACCAUUAAUGUGUUCCUUGGUGGAAGUAUUCUUCUUUGGUACUAAUACUUCUAGAUCAGUAGAGCCCUAAGUUGAGUAAAAGCAAGAGGAGCCAUUCCCAUUCCCUACA